GACCUCUCAGUAUCGCAGCUGGAAAGUUUCCAGGACUCUACCAGUCUCGGCUAUGGGAGGGAGAGUCAAGCAGAGGCGUACCCAUUCCAUUCCUAGCUUGGGCAGUGGCUAGCGGGCGGGAGGCAAUCUGCUACCAGU